UAAAGACACGGAAUCGAAACAUCGCUAGGUGAUGAGUUAGUAAAGAAUAAAUAUGGCUGCAAUAUUAAGCAUGGAGAAGGACAACAACUCCAUAUUUCUUUGAUUUGCUAGUUAAAAUCUAAAUUGCUAUUGGUAAAGUACACAAAAAUACAGUUAUUGCUGGGCAAAUUUUAACGUUAUCAUGAAAUAAAAAAUCAGUUCUAGAAAAUAGUUACGACUUUCUUCGAAGCUGCAAACUUAAAUUCCAAGAAUACUUUGAAUAGUCUCUGUAAGGUCUGAAGCGAAUUCCAAAAUGCUAUCAUUUGCUUUUCUGAGUACAAUUAUCGCAUAUAUAUUAAAAAUUUAAGGUGUAGUGCAUCCAAAAAAAAAAGAACGAUUCCAACAGAUAUAUU